rnacentral:snoRNA from 1 species
GGAGGUAUCAGGGGUACGGACCUCAGCAGAAUCAUGGGAACUGAAUGCUGCAAAGGUAACACCUAAAUAGCAGUAGGAUUGCACCUGAUCCAAGGAAGCUUCGCCUAUCCUCC